GCGAGGAUGGCGGAAUGGCAGACACGACAGUGUGAGGGGCUGUUGGGCGAUGACCCUGUGAGGGUUCAACUCCCUCUCCUCGCA
rnacentral:tRNA from 1 species